AUUGAACGCUGGCGGCAGGCCUAACACAUGCAAGUCGAACGAGUGGCGGACGGGUGAGUAAUGUCUGGGAAACUGCCUGAUGGAGGGGGAUAACUACUGGAAACGUUAGCUAAUACCGCAUACCAUCAGAUGUGCCCCGAUGGGCUUAGCUUGUGGGUGGGGUAACGGCUCACCAAGGCGACGAUCCCUAGCUGGUCGGAGAGGAUGACGAGCCACACUGGCACGGAGACACGGGCCAGACUCCUACGGGAGGCGGCAGAGGGAAAUAUUGCACAAUGGGCGCAAGCCUGAGGCAGCCAUGCCGCGUGUAUGAAGAAGGCAUUCGGGUUGUAAAGUACUUUCAGCGGGGAGGCGUUACCCGCAGAAGAAGCACCGGCUAACUCCGUGCCAGCAGCCGCGGUAAUUC
rnacentral:rRNA from 1 species